AGGAAGUUGACACUUGCCAGGGAAAAUAUUUUCAUCAACAACUCGACGAAAAAUUAGCAAGUGUCAAAGAUAAAUAAAACUCGGGGCUGCCACUGCCUCCGCCUUCGCCCCAAUGUCGGGGCGGGGACCGGGUCUUCUUCAGGCCAAAGUAUUUAUUUGCCUGUUGAAAUAGUGUCAAACUGAGUGGACUCUUCACAUGCGGGAAGAGAGAGGCUCCUUCCAACUGUCUUGCCUACUCAAUCCCCAUAUUCCCACCAGUACCAGCCCCAGCCCCAGCCCCAAAGAAAACUUGACUAACUAUGCAAAUAAGAGUAGCAUGUGUGUGUGUGUGUGUGUGUGCCACAGCACCACCGCCAGUAGCAGUGGCAGUAGCACCAACCCCCUUUGGCGACAGUUGGCGCAGAGUAAGUGCAGUUGGUAGAAAUUAAGUAAGUUUUUAGCUGCAAUUUUUGCCGAAAACUAUGUCAAGUUUGGUUUUAGUUGCCAGCAAAGUUUUUGCUUAAGAAAAUUGUAAGUAUAAGUAUAUCAAAGGAAGCUGGAAAAGCGCGACUCAGGCUCAGACUCAGACCCAGAGCCAGAGCGAACAGUGGAGACACUAAGCAGACGUCGGGCGGAACCUAAUGAAUUUCAUGCAUGACAUGCAAGGCACGACUCUGGCUCUGACUCAGACCCCGACUCGGGCUGGGCUGGCUGCCGCUUAAUUAAAACCAUUAGGCGUGAGUAAAACUUAGCCAGAGAAUCAAAUUUGAUGGGUGGCAGUGGCAGUGGCAUGGGCAUGGGCAUGGGUGUGGGUGUAGAAGAUAGAGAUGAGAUCUGAUGCAGGGAGGGUAUGAUAUGGUGUCAAAACUAUGGCUGCAUUGUCUAGGAAAAACUGCUAGCGAGAGGAAAAUCUUUUGCAUGUUUUGGUCAUAUUCUAAAAAUAAUAGCACUGGGAAGCAGCCAGACCCCGCCAGUCCCUGAGUGUCGUCCGGUCAAGUGGGUGGGCACCCACUUGGCUGACCCCUUGGGGUGGAUUUUUAUGACUUGGCGGCAACGACAGAUGCAGCAUAUGGUGUGGCAAGUGGCAGGAGGUUGGGCCGGGGUUGUGGCAUGGAAAUUAUAACAUUUUCCUGCCCGCAACAGAAAACGAAAGCUUAACAAAUUUCCCCCCUACCCAGGAGGAUCCGACUAAUUUAUUAGCGAAAAAGGAUUUGCAUUUCGAAGAAGUGAAUACGGAUUCCCAGAAGAAGCUCUAUUUCUAUCGGCUCUUAUUUCUUAGGAAAAUUCUGCAGGAUGCAUCUGGAAAAAUAAUGACGCACUCAGAAAUGAAGUUGCUUCAGUUUUGCGUAAACUUUCCGCUCGAACGGUUAGACAAGAUUGCCACAUUUCAAGGCUGGGCCACGCGUUGGGAAAUAAAGCUAAAAGCUCGGCAGGAUAUCAGAGCCACCACCAGAGAGCCAACCGCUAUGUUGGCUUCUUAGCCGCUGAGCUAUGGCCGAGCUAAAAAAGUUUAAUUCAAAAACUUGUACAAAAAUGCACAUUUAAUGGAAAUUUACUACCUGAAGUCGCGUCAACGACAGGAGCAGCAGGAGCAGCCGCAGCAGCAACAAGGGAAACCCGAAACAAGCGCCACAAAGUUGCAAUGGACAUGGAGGAGGUGGAGGAGCCGUGGCAGGUGGAUGCAGAGGCGUAGUGCCAGCAUAAUACAGAGUAGCAGUAGCAUUAGCACUGGCAGGAGUAGAAGCAGGCCAGGAGAAGCAGCUGGAGCCAGAAACAGAGUGAGAUAGAGCCAGAGCCAGAGCAGAGAGCAGCAAAGUGUUAACGGUUUGUUUGUGCGCCAAAUGGCUGCAAGGGGGGAUGGGGGACAAUGAUGGAGCCAGGGCCAGGCCGAGAGCCAGAGCCAGGGCCAGGAAUGUUAUCCUGCAGUUGUCUGCCUUUGGUCCUGCGUAACCGGAAACGGAAAUUGCGUAGCGCAGCCAAGUGCGUUGCAGUGGUACCACCAAGAGGCAGCGAGCCGUAACAUGGACACCACCAUUCAGUCGCCCCGACCCGGCUCCGACCCCGACCCUCAGAAAACGGGGUGGUGCGGCACAGGUGCUGCCGGUGGCUGUCAUUAACGUGUUUUGUAUUUUUAACGCGUGGUGAUGGCAACGCCCGUGGUGGUGUCACGCCAGUGUCGGGUGUCGGGAAAUGGAGAGGAAAUUAUAUCUGUGUAUGAAAUGGAUUAUCUCGUGGAUAAACUAGAAAUGAUGGAAUAGAGGAGACUGUGGUUGAUCUGCGAUAGGAUUUGUCCAACAGCUGAGAGGUCCAUAGAGGAGGAGAAACUUUAAUUGAAUUCGUCGUGAAAGCUCCCCUCAUUAGCAUUAUUCGCCAUUAUAUUCCUCCUCUCGUUCCUUGCCAUCAAAGAUCAUCCAAUCAGCUCUUAACUCUCGACUCUUUAACAAUGCCAAGCCAUUUGCGAAACCGAAUCAAAGCCAAUGGAAAUACGAAAACUUUUUCAUGUGCCACAUCCUGCCCAGAGCAGUGAAAAGCGUAAAACGAAACGAAAAUGCGAGGCGAAAGCAAAUGAAAAUGGAGCACUCCAUUUGCUGGACCAGUCCGGGGACCAGUCCUGGUCAGUCCCCGUCCUGGCCAUGUGCAAUCCUGCUGCCGCACCGCAAGAGCCAAACAAAUAAGAAAUUAGUUGAUGCCAAGUUGUUGCAGCUGCAGCUUCAGCUGCACUGCCGUUGCCGC